rnacentral:rRNA from 1 species
GAUGAACGCUGGCGGCGUGCCUAAUACAUGCAAGUAGAACGCUGAAGGAAGGAGCUUGCUCUUUCCGGAUGAGUUGCGAACGGGUGAGUAACGCGUAGGUAACCUGCCUGGUAGCGGGGGAUAACUAUUGGAAACGAUAGCUAAUACCGCAUAACAGUAGAUAUUGCAUGAUAUCUGCUUGAAAGGGGCAAUUGCUCCACUACCAGAUGGACCUGCGUUGUAUUAGCUAGUUGGUGAGGUAACGGCUCACCAAGGCGACGAUACAUAGCCGACCUGAGAGGGUGAUCGGCCACACUGGGACUGAGACACGGCCCAGACUCCUACGGGAGGAAGCAGUAGGGAAUCUUCGGCAAUGGACGGAAGUCUGACCGAGCAACGCCGCGUGAGUGAAGAAGGGUUUCGGAUCGUAAAGCUCUGUUGUAAGAGAAGAACGAGUGUGAGAGUGGAAAGUUCACACUGUGACGGUAUCUUACCAGAAAGGGACGGCUAACUACGUG